GCCGGGAAUGCAGAGGAGGAAGGAGUGGGAAGGCCGGAAGAGGGGAAAGGAUAGAGAAACGGCAGCAGAGAGACUCCAAGGAGUCAGAGACAAGCGAGACAGAGACACAUGUAGACAGAGAUAGGGACUCAGCGAGAGUGGGAGUGACAGAGAGCCACAGGAAGACACAGCAAGAAAUACAGAGUGACAGAAACAAGCAGAGAGAGGGAGGCACAGGGAGACAGAGACACAGAGAUACGGAGCCAGAGAGAGACGAGACAGCCCCAGAGAGACACAGAGAGAGAUACAGAGACUCAGCCGGAGCCAGAAGGUAUCCUACCAGCCAACCAUUCUCCUUUGCCGCUCAUGCAGCCAUCUGUCCUCCCAUCCUUCACUGGUCCAUCCAUCCACCCACCCAUCCAUCCAUCCAUCCAUCCUCCCAUCCACUUUGGCCUCUAUGAGGAUGGUGCCAUCUGGGUCAGCUCUGCUGGGACCAGGCAUAACUGCCCCGAGAGGCCCCAAGAAAGCAGAGGACCAAAGGUGAAGAGUGUAAAAUAAUUGAGACCAGACACCUCCACGGGGACUGAGAUCGAAGCAGCUGAACCAGCUAUCACCUGCCCCUCUUCAUCGCCGGCUGUGAGACGAUGGCGGCACAGAGCAGGAUAGAAAGUCGGCAGAAUCUGUUUGAGAUGCAGUGACUGGAGAAAAA